AUACACUCUCAGCGCGGAGGCGAUUGGUCGUGGGGCCCGAGCCACGCGGCGGUGUCGGCACUGGUGGCGCUGCUCGGGCUCGGCAUCGCGGCCUACAUCAUCGGCCCGCCGCUCUACUGGCACCUCGCCGAGGCGCUCCACCGCUCGGCGGGCACCUGCCCCACCUGCGCCUGCGACUGCGACGCGCUCCCGCUGCUCCAGCUCCCCGAAGAUACCCUCUUGCUGUCGGUGCUGGACGUACUGGGGUCGCCGUAUUCACUACCGGAACAGGGUCCUAUGCCGACAGCCAUAUGUAUGCCGACC
rnacentral:rRNA from 1 species